rnacentral:rRNA from 1 species
UACGGGGGGGAGCAAGCGUUGUUCGGAUUUACUGGGCGUAAAGUGUGCGCAGGCGGCCGCGCAAGUCGAGUGUGAAAGCCCCGAGCUUAACUUGGGAAUUGCGCUCGAAACUACGUGGCUGGAGUGUGGCAGAGGAAGGUGGAAUUCCAGGUGUAGCGGUGAAAUGCGUAGAGAUCUGGAGGAACACCGAUGGCGAAGGCAGCCUUCUGGGCCAACACUGACGCUCAUGCACGAAAGCGUGGGGAGCAAACAGG